rnacentral:rRNA from 1 species
UACGAAGGGGGCUAGCGUUGCUCGGAAUCACUGGGCGUAAAGGGUGCGUAGGCGGGUCUUUAAGUCAGGGGUGAAAUCCUGGAGCUCAACUCCAGAACUGCCUUUGAUACUGGUUGGCUUGAAUCCGGGAGAGGGACGUGGAAUUCCAGGUGUAGCGGUGAAAUGCGUAGAUAUCUGGAGGAACACCGGUGGCGAAGGCGACGUCCUGGACCGGUAUUGACGCUGAGGCGCGAAAGCCAGGGGAGCAAACGGG